UUCAAGUUUGAUGAGCCAAGAUAUCAUGCCUCAUAUUAUCUCUCUUUAAUAUUAAAUGACCAUUCAUGGCCUUGGGAGGAAGAUCUAGAAAUACUUGAGACCCUUCAGCCUGAAGACCUUUCUCGAUUUGCACCUACAAUGCUCUCGAGAGCAUUCUUAGAGUGUUACAUAGCAGGGAAUAUAGAGCAUGAUGAAGCAGAGUCAAUUGUUCAUCAUGUUGAAGAUGUUUUAAUGGUUCUCAUCCUAUAUGCAAGCCUGUGCUACAAUCCAGCUCAUGACAAGCAGACUCGUCACACUCGACGAGGGUGUAAGUUACGUCUACUCAACUGAAGGUCUAAACUCAAAUGAUGAGAAUUAUGCAUUGCUUCACAUUAUUCAGAUCCAUCAAGAUGACAUUACUUUGAAUGUACAACUUCAGCUUUUGGCUUUUAUUGCAUGGCAUGAAGCCUUCCACCAGCUCAGAACAGUUGAGCAACUUGGUUAUGUCUGUUUGGU